rnacentral:rRNA from 1 species
AUUGAACGCUGGCGGCAUGCUUUACACAUGCAAGUCGAACGGUAACAGGCCGCAAGGUGCUGACGAGUGGCGAACGGGUGAGUAAUGCAUCGGAACGUGCCCAGUCGUGGGGGAUAACGCAGCGAAAGUUGCGCUAAUACCGCAUACGAUCUAUGGAUGAAAGCGGGGGACCGUAAGGCCUCGCGCGAUUGGAGCGGCCGAUGUCAGAUUAGGUAGUUGGUGGGGUAAAGGCUCACCAAGCCGACGAUCUGUAGCUGGUCUGAGAGGACGACCAGCCACACUGGGACUGAGACACGGCCCAGACUCCUACGGGAGGAAGCAGUGGGGAAUUUUGGACAAUGGGCGCAAGCCUGAUCCAGCAAUGCCGCGUGCAGGAAGAAGGCCUUCGGGUUGUAAACUGCUUUUGUACGGAACGAAACGGUCCUGGUUAAUACCCGGGGCUACUGACGGUACCGUAAGAAUAAGCACCGGCUAACUACGUGCCAGCAGCCGCCGCCGUAA